GUUGGUGAACCAGCGGAGGGAUCAUUACAGAGUUGCAAAACUCCCAACCAUUGUGUACCUACCUCACCGUUGCUUCGGCGGGUAGCCUGUAACACAGGCCGCGCCGGCUCCCCUCCAGGAGCUGGCAGCCCGUCAGAAGCCCGAAACUCUUCGUUAUUACAGGCCUCUCUGAGUAACUUAUACAAUAAGUCAAAACUUUCAACAACGGAUCUCUUGGUUCUGCAUCGAUGAAGAACGCAGCAUCUGACUG
rnacentral:misc_RNA from 1 species